rnacentral:lncRNA from 1 species
UCAGGGACGGGGAUUGAGAAGGAUCCUGUAGAAGAUUACGCGCAACGUGUAUGGUUCGAAGCCCCUGAUGAGAAGUAUGAGUGUGAGUUUGACAUGCCUGAAGACUUUGGAACCAUUGGUGCCAUCAGAGUUCAAAACCAGUACCAUAGACAGUUGUUCCUCAAGAAGAUGGAGAUUGAGUUACCUGACGGGACUGUUACGUUUACAUGUGAAUCAUGGGUGGCCUCUAAGACUGUUGACCCAGCCAAGAGGGUAUUCUUCUCCACCAAGUCCUACUUGCCAUCCGAAACCCCGGAGCCUCUUAUACAGCUUCGAAAGAAAGAGCUAGAGACUUUAAAAGGCAACGACCGCGAAGAAGAUGGUGAAUUCACCAAGUUCGAACGCGUCUACGACUACGACGUGUACAACGAUGUUGGUGACCCUGACAAUAACCCUGAGCUUGCUCGUCCCGUCAUUGGAGGCCCGGCACAUCCUUAUCCAAGGCGUUGCAAGACUGGUCGCAAACCAUGUAAAACUGACCCGGCCACAGAGCAACGAUACGGGGGAGAGUUCUAUGUCCCUAGAGACGAAGAGUUCUCUAUAGCCAAAGGGACUACAUUCACAGGCAAAGCUAUCUUGGCAGCUAUACCAUCAGUGUUCCCUCAGAUUGAGUCUGUUCUAUUGGAUCCACAAUUGCCUUUUCCUCAUUUCAAGGCCAUACAAAAUCUUUAUGAAGAAGGUAUUGAGCUUCCUAAAGAUGCUGGUCUUUUACCUUUGCUUCCAAGACUCAUCAAAGCUGCUACUGAAGCUCGCGACGAUAUUCUCCAGUUCGAAGCACCAAUCCUCAUUAACAGUACCUACCUAUCUCUCCUUUUGAAUCUUCCAUUAUACUGUUUUGGUUGUGACUUGUGACUAAACUGACUUUUCUAAUAUCAUUCACAUUGGUUGAUUCAGGGGAUAGAUUUUCAUGGUUAAGAGACGACGAGUUUGCUCGCCAGACACUUGCGGGCCUUAAUCCUUACUGCAUUGAACUAGUUAAAGUAAGCUAUAAAUGCAUCUCAAUUAUUGAUAUAUUAUUUGUUUAACUCUUUUAGAGUAUGACUUGUUUUUUUAUUUUCAUAGUAAAACCUAUAAUUUAACACUAUUUUAAUUUGGCACCUUAGUAAAUUAUUGUUUCUUCCAUUUAAGUAAGAUAAAUGUUUAAGCUUUUUUUUAAUUAAAAAACAUAUAAUGUAUUAAAUAAACUAUUUAGAAACCUAGUAUACCCUUAUACUAUAAGUAAGUAUAUUUGUUUUAACUUUAAUAAUAACAAAUACAUGCAUUAAGAAAUGUUAUACAUAUUUUGAUUUGCAAAAAUCAAAGAAAAAAACCUUUGUAAAACAGAGUGAAUAUGAUUAAAAUAUAUUACUAUUUAUUUUAUCAACUAAAAAUAUCACUUUGACACAAUGCACAAAAAUUAAGAAAACAUUGAAGUAUACAUAUAUGCUCCUAUUUAAUAUGUGUUUAAUAAUUUAAUUAAUUUAAGAUUAAGGGUAAAAUUAGGAAUCUUUGUGUUAAAAAUGCAUUAGAAAUCUUAAGUGACAUUCUUUGUGAAACAAAAUUAAAACUCUAGAAUGACACUCUUUGUAAAAGAGAGAGAGUAUAAAAUAUUGGCAAUGAGUCUUAAAUAGGAUGUCAGUAAUUUUGUAUUGUUGUUACUUUCAGGAAUGGCCAAUGAAAAGCAAACUAGACCCGGCCAUUUAUGGUGAUCCCACCUCACUCAUUACUUGGGAAAUUGUGGAAAAAGAAGUUAAAGGAAACAUGUCAGUUGAUGAGG